rnacentral:lncRNA from 1 species
CUACAUAUAUGGUACAUAUACUAUACUGUAAAGUAUACAGAUUUUUUAGAAAUGUUAAGUUUGGAUGCUGAAUAUAAAUGUACUGUAUUUUAUUAAAUUUAAUAAAUUCAGAGUUCAUUUUCAAUUCUAUACUACAACUGUUUUUGAUCAACUGCCACUCCCAAUUAGCCACCAAAAUUGUCUCCAAAUGGAUGGUGGCAUCUUAUUGGGGUUUGACUGUAUAAAGAGAGAAUAUUGGAUAAGGAAGGUUCCAACUAUCAAGACUGUAGUUAUGUAAAAUUCUUAAUUUUCAAUUUCUUAAGUGAUUUUUAAUAUUUCAGAAUGAACAAUUAGAAAAAGAUUAUAAAACACUCAAUUACAAUAAGGAGAAACUUAGUUCUA